rnacentral:siRNA from 1 species
AACGUGGCUCAUAAGAAAUGAAAG